UACGGGGGGGGCAAGCGUUGUUCGGAAUUACUGGGCGUAAAGGGCUCGUAGGCGGCCAACUAAGUCGGACGUGAAAUCCCUCGGCUUAACUGGGGAACUGCGUCCGAUACUGGAUGGCUUGAGUUCGGGAGAGGGAUGUGGAAUUCCAGGUGUAGCGGUGAAAUGCGUAGAUAUCAGGAAGAACACCCGUGGCGUAAGGCGGUUCUCUAGUACGGUACUGACGCUGAGACGCGAAAGCGUGGGGAGCGAACAGG
rnacentral:rRNA from 1 species